rnacentral:rRNA from 1 species
GAUGAACGCUGGCGGCGUGCCUAAUACAUGCAAGUCGAGCGAACGGACGAUAAGCUUGCUCCUCUGAUGUUAGCGGCGGACGGGUGAGUAACACGUGGAUAACCUACCUAUAAGACUGGGAUAACUUCGGGAAACCGGAUCUAAUACCGGCUGAUAUUUUGAACCGCAUGGUUCAAAAGUUCAAGACGGUUUUGCUGUCUCUUAUAGCUGGUUCCGCGCUGGAUUAGCUAGUUGGUAAGGUAAAGGCUUACCAAGGCAACGAUGCGUAGCCGACCUGAGAGGGUGAUCGGCCAAACUGGAACUGAGAAACGGUCCAGACUCCUACGGGAGGCAGCAGUAGGGAAUAGUGGGCAAUGGGGGAAAGCCUGACGGAGCAAUGCCGCGUGAGUGAAGAAGGUCUUCGGAUUGUAAAGACCUGUUAUUAGGGAAGAAAAGAUGUGGAAGGAAAUGUGGACGUUGUGACGGUAACUAAUGAGAAAGCAACGGCUAACUACGUG